AGUGUGAUUCAUCCCUGGUGGGAAUUGACAGUCGCUUUCAUUUUCUUACAUUUUUUUUUUCCCUCUGCCAAGGUCACAGUGAAGAGAGCCUCGAAGUUCUCAGCAUUCGUCCUCCUUCACCCUUCCACCAGCUCUUGGUCAUGAAUCAUUCCGUCUUCAGAUUGAACUCCUGAUGCUUCGGUUCCAGAAAACAGCCCGACUUCCGCAAUUUUUCUUCAUUCUCACUAACAAUUUGGCUGGAGGUACUUCAGUCAAAUUCUAACUACGCAUUCAUACCUUGUGAUGUAUUAAUUUGACAUAUUUGUCACACAGCUGCCCGAACAGAAUGAAAGGAGGUUGUGUGCUAAAGAAAUUCUACAUGAUGUUAGCCACUAUGGCAACAUUACCGACUACAGCUUGAUCUCUUCACAAUUUCAAAGGUGGGAGAACUGACCGCUAUCGCUGAUAAAACUCACAAACUUUAUUGGAAUUCAGAAGAUUGUUAAAUAAGUCGACAGUCAGCCUGCCUCCCUGGGACUCAUCGUGGUUUGAAGACUUUGAAAAGGAAGGAAGCGACACCUUUAUAGUUCAUCCAGAAAUAAUUUGCAAACAGAAACUAGACAGUGAGCUGUGUGUACUAACAGUUGCUUCAAGGUCAUAUCAACAUUGAAGCCUGUUGGCUACAGAUAAAGCAGUAACACUCCCCCUGUCCAGCUGCCUGUUUCUUCGGCCCAAACAUUUUGAACUGUAAAUUGUCGAUGUAUUUUUUUUAUAUUUUAGUUUUGUUUAGCUGAAAACCGCAGUGCUGUAAAUUAUUGCUUUCCUUCAACUUUCUAAUACAGCUAUAAUUUCUCAGA